UCUUCAGUCUUCAGUCUUGCCGGAACUGAAAGGAAACCGAAAAGGAAACAGAGAAGAAGGCCUCAUUCCACACUCCAGUACUCCACUCCCCUCCCCUCCCGGUCCCGGCGCUUUCUUGGAUCGCGAGAAAACCACUCGAGAAACCCGCAGUUCUAGGGAACUGUAUCGGCAGGAGCACGAGGAAGUAGAGGGUGCCGGGCAUGGAUCACGCCAGGGGACGGAGACGAGCAGGGAGGCAGCAACGACCGUCCCGGUCUCUGGUCUUGUUCUCGCUGUAAAGAGAGUAGGUGCCCUCUGAAUUCCACUUGAGCGAUCCAACUCCAGUCGCCUCGCCAUGAAGCGGCCACGCGCCGGCAGCCCCUCCCUCCUUCCGACGGCCAGCCCGGAUGAUGAUGGUUACGGCGCGGCAGCUGGGAUGGAGGCGGAGGAGGAGAUGGUGGCGUGCGGCGGCGGCGGCGGGGAGAAGAAGCGGCGGCUGAGCGCGGAGCAGGUGCGCGCCCUGGAGCGGAGCUUCGAGGUGGAGAGCAAGCUGGAGCCGGAGCGCAAGGCGCGGCUGGCGCGCGACCUCGGCCUGCAGCCGCGCCAGGUCGCCGUCUGGUUCCAGAACCGCCGCGCGCGCUGGAAGACCAAGCAGCUCGAGCGCGACUACGCCGCGCUGCGCCACUCCUACGACGCGCUGAGGCGCGACCACGACGCGCUCCGCCGCGACAAGGACGCCCUCCUCGCCGAGAUCAAGGAGCUGAAGGCGAAGCUCGGGGACGAGGCAGCGGCGAGCUUCACGUCGGUCAAGGCGGAGCCGGCGGCCUCCGACGGGCCGCCGGCCGCGGGCGUGGGGUCGUCCGAGAGCGACUCCAGCGCGGUGCUGAACGACGCGGACCCGGCCGUGGGCGCGGCGGAGGCGCCGGUGCCGGAGGUGCAGGGCGCCCUCCUUCCCGCGCCCACCGGGGCCGCCGCGACGAGCCGCGGCGGGGCGUUCUUCCACGGGGGCUUCCUGAAGGUGGAGGAGGACGAGACGGGGUUCCUGGACGACGACGAGCCGUGCGGCGGGUUCUUCGCCGUGGAGCAGCCGCCGCCGAUGGCGUGGUGGACCGAGCCCACGGCUGGAACUGAGCUGGGGUGGAUGAGAGCGCGGACUUGGGAUCUGUGAGCCAGCCGAGCCAAGCGGUGGGGGAAUAAAGGAUUCGGAGCGAGAGACGGGGGCUAUUCUGCGAAUUUUGUAAAAUGGAAUUUUACCUAGUCCUUUUUUGUCAAUUCCUGCGCGUAUUAGCAGGGUGGUGGUAGUAGUAGUAACCAACCUAGAAUAGAAUCAACCCUAAGCACGUAGUGUUUGGUUAACUUUGGACCCCAGUGCAAAAAUGCGACCAGAAUCGACGAAGAGGGGGGACAGCGACAGUGGGAAGAGAGGAGUGUAGAGGAAGAGCUGGGCGAGGAAACGGCCAACCCGCCGGUCCCUGUUGGCGGGCCCGGGGCCACGUGAAAGUCAGGCAUUGCUGGCGCCACCAUUGACCGGCGGGCCUGCCAGUGGCGCCGAUCGGCGACGUGGACGUGCCUGGCCGUGCGCGCCCGUGGCGUCUUGCGCGAAAGCGUUGGCUCCGGGCCUCCGGCUCUGCUCCCUGAUUUCUCUGUAUCUGAUUUGGAAUCUUGCCGCUCGCCGUGGAGCGGAUCGCCGGCGUGCCGGUGCCACGGGAAAUGGCGAUCGAUCUCGAUCGGUGUCUGUGUGUUCUCUUUGAUCCUGCUGAGGAGCUCUGAUCGAGAAGACGAGAAGCGACCCGAUCUUGUCAGAUGGUGAUCGGUGUUCUUGUACGAGACCGAGUACUUUUCUGCUACUCUGAUUCCGCGUAUUCAGAGAAUUCCCGUUUUGUGCCA